rnacentral:rRNA from 1 species
CUCCUACGGGAGGCAGCAGUGGGGAAUAUUGCACAAUGGGGGAAACCCUGAUGCAGCCAUGCCGCGUGUGUGAAGAAGGCCUUCGGGUUGUAAAGCACUUUCAGUAGGGAGGAAAGGGUGAGUCUUAAUACGGCUCAUCUGUGACGUUACCUACAGAAGAAGGACCGGCUAACUCCGUGCCAGCAGCCGCGGUAAUACGGAGGGUCCGAGCGUUAAUCGGAAUUACUGGGCGUAAAGCGCACGCAGGCGGUUGGAUAAGUUAGAUGUGAAAGCCUCGGGCUCAACCUGGGAAUUGCAUUUAAAACUGUCCAGC